UACGGAGGGAGCUAGCAUUGUUCGGAAUUACUGGGCGUAAAGCGCACGUAGGCGGCUUUUUAAGUCAGGGGUGAAAUCCCGGAGCUCAACUCCGGAACUGCCCUUGAAACUGGGAAGCUAGAAUCUUGGAGAGGCGAGUGGAAUUCCGAGUGUAGAGGUGAAAUUCGUAGAUAUUCGGAAGAACACCAGUGGCGAAGGCGACUCGCUGGACAAGUAUUGACGCUGAGGUGCGAAAGCGUGGGGAGCAAACAGG
rnacentral:rRNA from 1 species